CUUCACUGCAGUGAGUGAGCUCUCAUGAGGUCUAGUCAUUUGAAAGUGUGUGGCACCUCCCCCUCCAUGCUCUCUCUGCUCCUGCUUUUGCCAUGUGAUGUGCUUGCUCUCCCUUUGCCUUCCACCAUGAUUGGAAGCACCCUGAGGCCCCCUCAGAAGCAGAUGCCAUUUUGCUUCCUGGAUCGCCUGCAGAAUGGUGGGAUUGAACAGCAGCCUCUUUUAGUGGGCUUUCUUUACAAAACCCAACGACUCUACCUCUCUGCUUGCUAAGCAUGUGAACUUAUCAUCUAAUGGGGAAUGCAAGACUCACUCUCCAGUAAACCUAGAAAACUUAGAUAACCUUGCUUCUCAUCUAAUGAGACAGAUAUAUUCUUCUCUCCAGAAGACAGGUGUAACAUGGAUUCCAUGCCACUGGGCAACUGUUCAACUGCCCUGAAGAAACGGUGGGUGUUGUCUCCAUGUCUUCUGUGAAGAGCACUCUCUUAGCCUAAUGCCUCCUCAGGGACCUCGAACUUUGAUCUCUGAACUGCGUCCUCCCAGGGCCCAGAGGGAAGAUCAAUCACUCAGGCAUCUCCCAGGACACCAGGUCAAGUGGCAGAAGUUCAUCCUCUGGGAUUCUUUGUCCUCUGUAACAUCGAUUGUCAACUUGGCAAAGCCAGCUUGACAAUACCAGAGUCUUUGUGUACAAUCCAUAGACAGCACUGGGAAGAGCAAACCAUGAGAGGCCAGCACUAAACCCUCAGGGUAGCUAAAGAGGAAGCAUGGUAAGACCUCAUUCUGCAGCAGAAAAAAACAAACAAUCUGCUCUACAUGUACCCAGCAUCAUGUGAACAUGAACCAGUUGAGUAUCGCCUGGGCCUCUGUUUGCUCAUCUGUAAAUGGGCUGGUUGCCCCUUCUUGCAAUGGACAAGCCUGCAUCCGCAGAGUUCGAGUCCUGUGUCUUGUGUCCUUGCCACAUCCUCCUCUGGGAGCACUCCGCAAAAGCUGUUAUUGUUAGCCCCCUUCUCUCAACCUCCCCAAUCAUUGCACACUCAUAGACAAAGGACAAUCUGAUCUUUAUGUGACCAAGAUAAAAUUUGAUGGGAGAUCAGCAAGACAUAAAGGAAGGUUCUUAAAUGACAUAUUUAUCCCAACAUUGUUCUGGGAAGAAAAGUAUCCAUUGUAAAAACUAAACAUGUCUGAUUAAAUGAUAAAUGCAGGAAGCUGACAGUGGAACAGUCACUAUGCCAAAGAUUCUCAGAUUAUCAAAGCCCUGUCAGGCCACUUCAGAAAAGGGGAUUCCCAAUAUGAGUUCACAAUACUUUGACAUCUGAAGAGGUCAGUUAGCCUAAGGCAAAGGAACUGCAAUGUGCCAGCCUAAAUGUUCUGCUUCUCACUCUCACAGAAAGAAGGAAAACUGGAAAAUGGGAAUCAGCAGUUGUGGAGAGCGCAGACUUUCCUAAGUAUUCUGGGGAUACUAGUAGGAGUUAGAGGAGAGAGUAUGUAUUUUGUAGCCAAAUAGAAGUCUUUUUGGGACAUGCUGGAUUAAGAACAUUGCUAGACUUUUGGUAUAUGACACAUGAUUUAUUCCUUAUCCCAACACUUCAAAUUUUAGGUCAACAUAUCUCUCUUUCUCUGUAGUGGGAGAUGAAUUCAAUGACUUACUCAAGGUCAUACAGUUAGUUAUGUCAGAACUUGAAUUUUAUCUCAAGUCAGCUUUAUUCCCAUACUGGCAGUUUUCUGUAUGAUUGUGUUCAUUAUACAAGAAAGGAGCAGGAAGUUCUUUGGAAGGAUAUUUUGAGAUUUAAAAAUAAAGCUUUCCAAUAAAGACUAUGGUCAUCAGAAUAAAACCUGCACAUGUAUGGGCAGUAUGCAGUUGAUCAUGUUCUCCACCUUCAAGUCUAUGCAAAAUCAACAUCCCAAGGACAGGCAUAAGCCACAUUCUCUUUCACUAGCUAGUACAGAGCCAGAGCAAUUGAUAAGAACCGUUGUCUUUGUUGAGCAUAGAGGUAUCAUUAGACUAAAGAAAUGUCAUUGGAAAUUCUUUCCAAUGUGGCCAGUCUCAGUCCAAGCCCUUUCCUAGCUGGGUAUAAGGAUUAGUCAGGUGGCAGAGCUACUCCUUUCUGAAGCCAGAAGGAGCAAGUCCAACAAGGUCUCGGGCCUUCGCAUCUGGAAGUGGGGUACCCAGGCUGAUUUUUUUGAAACAGGAAAAGUUGUGUCCUGUCGUUCCCUUUCCCUGGGAAACUUACCCAACUUUCCAGCCAAGCUCCUCACUCUCACAGUCUGUGCUGUAUCUCAAGUGUGCAUCCCUGGACACAAACCUAGUUCUGCACAUCUGCACUCUUAAAUGUUAAACUCAUACCCUGCUCCCUUAGAAUUACACCCCUCACACCAUCUCCACAGAAAAUGGUGUGUGCCAAGAAAUGGACUUAAACUUUUUCAUAACCAUCAGUCUUCUUUUGUUGUGAUUUUGGUCUUCCUGAACUUGAAGGCCUGAAAAUUCUCACUCCUCUUUCUGGCUUUGUGUUUCUCCUUUUCCACGGUUUGUGUAGCUGUUUUGCAACCCUCACCUGAAUGCAGCUGCUUUUGGGGAUUCUGAAACCACAAAUAAUCACUAUCUUUUCUCUGGACAUGACACCUCAGAACUAAUACAGUUGAAAGCUCUCAAAACAAAUUAUAAUAUUGAGACAGGGCUUCUCUGAAAACAGUUUGAGCCAUGUUCCUAUAAGUGUAUGUCUGUAUGUAAUCCAUUGUGUCUUCAAGCCUCUGGAAGACAAUGGCCUGCCACUCAGGAAAGAUGCCAAAAUGCAGAGGAUUUCUGCAAAUCCUUCCCUUCAGAGAGGGACCAAAGGCCCUAGGCUCUCAGGGAUGAGAGAAGGAAGGAAGCAGGACUUCUGGGAGGUACCAUUCCUGAGAGGUGGCUUGGCUGCAGGUCACAGAGGCCCCAGGGUCCUGUCUAUGAGUGGCUAGAGGGAGCAGCUCCCUGUCUCAGCCUUUGCACAGAAAAGGGGUGUAAAUGACAGUAGCAUUAGGUGACAGGGGGCAAAGUCAUCCUACAACUGCUUGUUAUUUGGAAAUUAGUGCUAUUUUCUAAUAUGGAGAAAUUACAGGUUGCUAAUGUGAUCCUGAUGGAAACAAAAUACAGUGGCUGAUCCCUUCUGUCAUUCAAACCCUGGUGUCAGUAGGGAAUCCCCAUGCUGAGGGUUAAAUUAUGAUGGUUUGAAAGGGGAAACUUUAAAGCAUAAAUAUCAGGUAUUUGUGUUUUACUUUGUGGAAAUUCUUGACCAUUUAGCUAUUUGGUAAUUGCUGUGCACAGCUGAGUAAAUAUACAGUGAGUUUCAAAUCAUUCAAUACUAAGAAAAUGGAACUUUCUCUCUCUGUCAAUAUAUAUAUGUAUAUGUGUGUCUUUGAGUGUGUAUGUGUGUGUGUGUAUGUAUAUAAUUUUGACAACAAGGUUUUCUGUACUUUUGAGCUAUAACUGGAGGUCAAAUGGAAUGUUGUGAAAUGUCAGAACUGCCAAAUAUUCUAUUUAAUUUAAAUUCAUAAAUGUUGGCCAAAGUGAUGUGAAAGAAGAAACUCAAUCUCUCUGAGCACUAGAUUACUGCCCCCAUACCCUGGCCCUUUCUUCCCUGAGAAGGUUAGUCAUCUCUGUAAAUAAAUACUGCCAUUUCCUUCCUUACUCCUUUCUACCAGCCAUCUCCAGGGCAGGGAUGUGGCUUGGCAGGGAAUAUGGGGGGAGAGUGACCCAGGACACACUGAAC
rnacentral:lncRNA from 1 species